rnacentral:rRNA from 1 species
AGCAGUAGCCACGGUAACACGGAGGGGGCUAGCGUUGUUCGGAAUUACUGGGCGUAAAGCGCACGUAGGCGGAUCAGAAAGUCAGAGGUGAAAUCCCAGGGCUCAACCUUGGAACUGCCUUUGAAACUCCUGGUCUUGAGGUCGAGAGAGGUGAGUGGAAUUCCGAGUGUAGAGGUGAAAUUCGUAGAUAUUCGGAGGAACACCAGUGGCGAAGGCGGCUCACUGGCUCGAUACUGACGCUGAGGUGCGAAAGCGUGGGGAGCAAACAGGAUUAGAUACCCCAGUAGUCCCUGUCUCUUAUAC